rnacentral:ncRNA from 1 species
UGGUCCUAGCCUUGAACUCAACUCUCACCCAAUUUAUACAUGCAAGUCUCCGCACCCCUGUGAAAACGCCCUUGACCCCCUUCUGGAACAAGGAGCUGGUAUCAGGCACAAUAAUUAGCCCAAGACACCUAGCCUCGCCACACCCCCACGGGAAUUCAGCAGUGAUUAAUAUUAAACAUAAGCGAUAGCUUGAUUUAGUUAAAGUGAAAAGAGCCGGCAAAUCUGGUGCCAGCCGCCGCGGCUACACCAUGUGGCUCAAGUUGAACUCUUUCGGCGUAAAGCGUGAUUAAAGUAAACAUCAAACUAGAGUUAAACUUAAACUAAGUUGUAAUAAGCUUGUUAAUAAGAAACCCACAAACGAAAGUUACUCUAAGCCCCCUCAACUUGAACUCACGACCGCUCGGGCACAAACUGGGAUUAGAUACCCCACUAUGCCUUGCCGUAAACUUUUAUCUACUAAUUAAUCGCCAGGGAACUACGAGCCAAGCUUAAAACCCAAAGGACUUGACGGUACCCCAUAUCCCCCUAGAGGAGCCUGUCCUACAAUCGAUAAUCCACGUUUAACCUCACCACUUCUAGCCUAUCAGCCUGUAUACCUCCGUCGUCAGUUUACCGCGUGAGCGCCUCAAGUAAACUUAAUGAUUAUACCAUCAAUACGUCAGGUCAAGGUGCAGCACAUGAAGUGGAAAGAGAUGGGCUACACUUUCUAGCUUAGAAAACACGAAAGACUUUAUGAAAUCUAGUCAGAAGGCGGAUUUAGAAGUAAGAGUACAUCAGAACGCUACUCUUAACUCGGCACUGGGGUGUGUACACACCGCCCGUCACCCUCUUCAAAACAAAACUAUAGUAUUUAACUAAUUAAUAUACCAAAGAAGAGGCAAGUCGUAACAUGGUAAGUAUACCGGAAGGUAUGCUUGGACA